CUGGCUAAUUUUUGUAUUUUUUAGUAGAGAUGAUGUCUCACUCUGUUUUCCAGGCUGGUCAAGGGAGGAACUUUUAGAUAAUUAGAGACUUCAAUGUGAAACAUACAGCUACAAUCUAAUGAAAAAAAUAGGAGAAUUUUUGAAUGGGAUUAAUACCUAGAAUAUACAAAGUACUCCUGCAAACCAACAAGAAAAAGACCCCACAUAUAGGAACCAUCGGAUCCCUGUGUACAGAUGAAGAACUGAGUCUUGGAAAGCUUAACUACCUUGCUCACAGUCACACGUUAAGGUCUAAAGUGAGAAAUUAAACCAAGUCUUCCAAUCUCAAAGACUUUAAAGGAAAAGCUACAAGCUACAAGGUCUCAUCCUCCACGGAACAGAGAAUGGUUUUUAGAGUAACAAUGCAUCCAAGAAUAAAGAAGUUCUUCAUGUAUAUUUAUGGGAAAAUUGCUAAGGUGUAGUCUCAAGUCCUAAAAAAGCAAAGUUCAGGAAGUGGACUCCCUGAAGAAACAGGAAAGAGCACAGGAGAUGAGGAACAAACACAGCCAAUGGUGAGGCCCUCAGCAGGGAGCAAGGAGGGGGUGCUGUUGUUAAUAAAAAAAGAAGAAAGAAGAUUUUCAUCUAAAAUGAGAAAAGAGGAGAGAAAACAGCUGCAUUUAUGCAAGAUGGGCAAAGACAUGGAAGAUACGGGCCCUCACUGUAUAGUAGCUAUAUCAGUCUUCUUGGGCUGCCCCAAGUCUCUGGUCUUGGAUGUUUCUGGUUGUCUGGCUGGACGGCUUAAACAACAGGAGUUAAUUUUCUUACAGUUUUGGAGGCUGGAAACCCAAG
rnacentral:lncRNA from 1 species